AAACGACUCUCGGCAACGGAUAUCUCGGCUCACGCAUCGAUGAAGAACGUAGCAAAAUGCGAUACUUGGUGUGAAUUGCAGAAUCCCGUGAACCAUCGAGUUUUUGAACGCAAGUUGCGCCCGAAGCCAUCUGGUUGAGGGCACGUCUGCCUGGGCGUCACGUA
rnacentral:rRNA from 1 species